GGAGACCAAGGAGGUGACGCCACCGAAGAGACGUCACCACCGAGGAGGCCAAAGGUGAGGCCCCCGGGGAGGUGAGGCCAUCAAGGAGGCCACCGAGGAGGUGACACCACCGAGGAGGCCAAGGGGUGAGGCCACCGAGCAGGCCGCCAAGGAGGUGACGCCACCGAGGAGGUCAAGGGGUGAGGCCGCCAGGGAGGCCGCCGAGGAGGUGACGCCACCAAGGAGGCCAAGGGGCGAGGCCACCGGGGAGGCGCCGCCAGCGAGGCCAGGCCGAGGCGGAUUUGGAGGCCGCCGAGGCGAACUGGAGGCCGUUGGAGGGGGGGAGGCCGCGGGGAAGGGAGGCCGCGGGCGCCCCCUAGAUGCGGAAGCUCUCCCCCUUGCCGUCGAUGUGGCGCAGGCGCAGGUAGACGUCGGUGCCCACGCCCUGCAGCGACUGGAGGCACAGCGAGCCCCCCAAGUACUCGGCGUAGGCGCGCGAGGUCGGCAGCCCGAAGCCGAACCUGGAGGCCGGGGAAGAGGGAGAAACGUCGGGCGGGGGGGGAGGGGAAUCGGGGGGAUUUGGGGGCGUCCCCCAGGGGGGUCGGGGUGACCCCGUACCCGUGCAUGGGGCAGGCCUGGGCGCCGUGGCUGAGGUCGAGGAGGUUGCGGAAGGGGCCUCCCAAGCGGGGGUCCUGGGCGCUGGCCUCGGCCGUGCUGAAGUGGUACUCGGUCACCUUGUCCAGGAGGUCGUGGGGGAUGCCCCCGCCCCGGUCCGAGAUCCUAUAUAGGGGACGGGGACGUAAAGGGAAAGGGGGAGGGGGGGGCAGCCUCCGCGGAGGAGGCCCUGAAAGGAUGGGGGCGGCCCGAGAGAGGGGGAAGGUCCUGUGGGGGCGGGGAGCGCCCUAUAGGUGCCGUGGGGGAAGGUCCUAUAGGGACGAGGACACUGUGGGAAUAUCCUAUAGGUGCCAUGGGGGAAGGUCCUAUAGGAACAGCA
rnacentral:lncRNA from 1 species